UGGGGAAUAUUGGACAAUGGGCGGAAGCCUGAUCCAGCAAUACCGCGUGUGUGAAGAAGGCCUUAGGGUUGUAAAGCACUUUCAAUAGGGAGGAAAAAGGUAAGCUUAAUACGUUUGCCCUUGACAUUACCUAUACAAGAAGCACCGGCUAACUCCGUGCCAGCAGCCGCGGUAAUACGGAGGGUGCAAGCGUUAAUCGGAAUUACUGGGCGUAAAGCGUGCGUAGGCGGCCUGUUAAGUCAGAUGUGAAAGCCCCGGGCUCAACCUGGGAACUGCAUUUGAAACUGGCAAGCUAGAGUUGGGUAGAGGCGAGUGGAAUUUCAGGUGUAGCGGUGAAAUGCGUAGAUAUCUGAAGGAACACCAGUGGCGAAGGCGACUCCCUGGACUCAAACUGACGCUGAGGCACGAAAGCGUGGGUAGCAAACAGGAUUAGAUACCCCCGUAGUCCCUGAGCGGGCUGGCAAGGCGCAU
rnacentral:rRNA from 1 species